rnacentral:tRNA from 1 species
GCCUGGGUGGCUCAGUGGGUUAAGCAUCUGACUUCAGCUCAGGUCAUGAUCUUGUGAUACGUGGGUUCCAGCCCCACGUCGGGCU